UACAGAGGGUGCGAGCGUUAAUCGGAAUUACUGGGCGUAAAGGGCGCGUAGGUGGUUGUAUAAGAUUGCUGUGAAAUCCCUGGGCUUAACCUAGGAACUGCAACGAUGACUGUAUAGCUAGAGUAUUGUAGAGGGUAGUGGAAUUUCCGGUGUAGCGGUGAAAUGCGUAGAGAUCGGAAGGAACACCAGUGGCGAAGGCGGCUACCUGGACAAAUACUGACACUGAGGCGCGAGAGCGUGGGGAGCAAACAGG
rnacentral:rRNA from 1 species